AUGAUUUUAAUGUUCCGUUUCCUAGUCCUCCCAAAUUUGCUGAUUUUGAUCUUCCAUUCAAUGAAUUUGUGGUUCCAGAAGUUAACUUUGAUGAUUCCUUCUAAAGCUCCAAUAUUCUUCUUCGGCCUUGCCUUAUCUUUUAAUCAAUGUGUGUAUAUUUGCCUAACUGUUUCAAAUAGUUAUAUUUUUUAUAAUCAUUUUUUAACUGAAACAUUUUGUCAUUUUACUGUGAAGUUUUAGAAGUCAAGUCAAUCGGAAAAGACCAAUAAUGACAAUAUUGUGCCUGUCAAGUAUUAAGCUAAGAGGGAAGACUUCAUAAUUUUCUUUUUGUUUAAGUUCUAAAUUGUAUCGCAUAUGUAUUCACUUUUUUCUUUUUAUCAUCAUGACAUGUUGAGGAAACAAAUUUCCGUCUGAAUGUUGUAUGUGAAUGAAACAACUUUAACCAAGACCUUAAAUAACAACUAUCCAUGCAUUUUGAAUCCAGGAAUCUCAACAGCUAAUCUCUAUAAACAAUUUGUUUACCACUCACUCACAGCUUCAGGAAUACCAGCAGUGUUUCACAUUUCAAAUUGCUUAAAAUGCGUUGCUUAAAUUUUAUACAGAACUAAUAUUAACAACUAGAUCAAUUUAACCAAUUAGUAAGAAGUAAUACUGGCUCUCAUGAAACUAAAUUCCUGGUAUGUAAUUCAAAUAAAUCUUGUACAGGAGUGGUAACGAUGUUGAUUUUGACAUUCUAAGGGAGAUAAUCAUCAACAAAUCUCAUAGUUGCCUCUGCAGUGCAUGCUUGAGGAAUUCAAUGUAUGAAUUGCAAAUUGAGCCGUACAGAAAGUAUUACUGUUCCAUAACCAAGAGCAUGGAUAGUUUUAUUUCGGCAAUAUUGUUUCCUAACGAAUGGUACAGUAGAAAAAGUAGCUACAUCUUUAUUUUGUGAUAAGAGGAAGCCCUCAUGAAGUUGCAGGUAUUUUAACACACACUGUCAGGUAAUUUUUUAAUUUUCCUUUUUUUUAUGUGUAUGUAACGUUAAUUAUGUGCCUCCAUACCUCAAAUUAGAUGUUAGACUGUCCAGAUCAGUGAUAGUUCCUCAUAAUUUUGAUUUUUGUAAGAAUUGUCUUCAUACUAGAAUAAAUAUAUAUCAAAAAAUUGCUUUAAACCAAUGUGAUUUUAUCUGUACUAACUGUUGAAGAUCAAGCAGUGCAUUUUUAUAGAUGGUACGACAUGACCCUCAACUAUUCCUAAGAAUACAGCUGCUGAGGUUGCUUUUAGUGGUAUCAUUGGUGUAUGUAUUGCUAAAUCAGCGUUGUCAUUAUUGUUUCCUAAAGAGGCCUUCAAGGUAAAUAUUUUUUAAGUCAUAGUUUUUUAAUAAAAUCCAAUUUCAUUUUUCUAGAUUUUCUAGUGUUUUGUCUUGUUUUAUUCCUUUUAGUUCUGGUAGUGCUCUGACGACUCGGACUUGGUCAUCAGCAAAGCAUACAGUAUGAAGGGUUACAAUAUUUCUGUUCAGAUACUCUCUCUUAUUCACAAGACUCAUCGCAUCUUACAGACAAUUGUUUAAAAAUUCCUUUGAUAAUUUCGAGCACACAAUAUUUUAGUUUCUCCUUAGUUGAAAAAUAAGAAAGAAAAUGUAUAAAGCUUUGAAUGAACUUAAAAUUCUCAUCUCAUUCAAAGUAUCAAGAGACUUCUUUUGUAAGACACGAGAAAUGGGUUUAUAAUUUUUCAUAAAAAAUACGUAGAAAACAUUUUUUUUUCAUUAUAAAAUAACCAACAUUUUAUUGCAUAAAACAUAAAUAAACUAUGAGCGCAUAGUUCUCUCAAAACUAUUGCGAUAUAAAAACAAAAUUGAUAUUUAAAACAUGUUCAUUGUAAAAAAUGGAUGAAAAGUUCAGCUUGUAUUUACAUACUUCCUCUAUAAAAGCUUUAAAAAAACAUGAAGUGUACAAGAUGCCCCCGAAGUAAUUAAU
rnacentral:lncRNA from 1 species